rnacentral:rRNA from 1 species
GGGCGAAAGCCUGACGCAGCAACGCCGCGUGAGGGAUGAAGGCCUUCGGGUUGUAAACCUCUUUCAGCAGGGAAGAAGCGAAAGUGACGGUACCUGCAGAAGAAGCACCGGCUAACUACGUGCCAGCAGCCGCGGUAAUACGUAGGGUGCAAGCGUUGUCCGGAAUUAUUGGGCGUAAAGAGCUCGUAGGCGGUUUGUCGCGUCUGCUGUGAAAACCUGGGGCUUAACUCCGGGCCUGCAGUGGGUACGGGCAGACUAGAGUGCGGUAGGGGAGACUGGAAUUCCUGGUGUAGCGGUGAAAUGCGCAGAUAUCAGGAGGAACACCGAUGGCGAAGGCAGGUCUCUGGGCCGUAACUGACGCUGAGGAGCGAAAGCGUGGGGAGCGAACAGGAUUAGAUACCCUGGUAGUCCACGCUGUAAACGUUGGGCGCUAGGUGUGGGGCUCAUUCCACGAGUUCCGCGCCGCAGCUAACGCAUUAAGCGCCCCGCCUGGGGAGUACGGCCGCAAGGCUAAAACUCAAAGGAAUUGACGGGGG